GAGAGGGCGGGGCGGCGGGGGAUUCUCUGGCUGGCUGGAGCAGCAAAAAUUACCAACUCGCAAAAUAAAACAAAAUAAAAACAAACCAACAAAUACGAAAACACCAGACAUUAUGAUACAAACUUACAAUUUGCACCGAUGUUUUUUCAAAAUUCUAUACGCGAAAAGUGAGCGCGAGAGCCCUCGGUGCGCCUGCUCUCUGCUGAAGUCAAAGUAAACUUUAUUGUCAUCUCCGCUACAUACAGUCCAGUAUAUAGAGAGACGAGACGACGAGGCUCCAGUUACAGCAGUGCAAAUAAACAAACAAUAAAUAUUUAAGAGUAAAAAAAUAAAUAUACACUUUAGGACUCGGGGUAAAGGGAUCAAUAACAAUUUAAAAUGUAUAUUUUAUAUUUUGUUGAUUUAAAGUCUCACACACAACCCGUUUUUAAAGUUUAAAAAAAGAGAAAAGAAGAGGAGGAGUGUAGCGACUUCCACAGUCGCUAGAGGCCGGGGACUGAGCCUGCCUAUUUGCCUAACGCGCUGUCAACUUUACGCAAUAAUGCGAGAGGUGGAAUUGCUUCCUUGUUUAUUAAAGUGCUUGAAAAGUUUACAGAGCAAUGUGAUCGGCUCGCGAUUCAAACUCUUAAAACAUCACAGGCUCUAAUGCAACAAGGGGAAACUCGUUGUGCUGCGGUCAACAAAAACUACGGCUACCCAGCCCUGCUCUGUCAAAAUCAAACCAGUGAAUGACAGACUGACAACGCCCUCUUAAUGUCACCGCUACCACCCACGUGACUCCCGUUACACAUCACCAUAGCAACCAAACAAAUGAAAACCCAGUGAUCAUUAAAAUUCAAUACAUUUAGUUAUGGCUCCUACAAGGAGAAACGAGCAAAAGACACAGGCCUUGUAGGAGAGUCUGAUUGGUCUGCAGUGAAAGACCCAGGAGAAAGCUGAGGAACAAGUCCAGGUGUCCAUUUGAACUCUAGUGAACUCCUGGAGAGCAGAGACCCCCUGCAAGGAUGUAACAACCUCCCCGCCAGUUGAAGAGGCCCCUAGUUCUGCCGAUGCACCAGAGGCCCCCUGCCCCAAGGCUGUGCAUGGACCCACCCACAACCCGGCAAUACACCAACCAGAAACCAAUCCCCCAAGACUCAGCCAGAGCCCCGGCCCGGAGGCGGAGCACCCCCAGAACCACAAGACCGCCCCAGAUCCACCCCAGGGCAGCUAGGCUACCAGGCCAGUAACCCACGUCUGCCAGCACAGACCCUCCCCCAGCCCUGCUACACGCAGCCACCAGGAAAACAUCACCCGGGGGACACCAGAGUCCAAAGGCUAUCAGAUGAUGACGGUUCAUGCAGACACUAUAUAAUGAAUCCAAAGUACCCAUUUACCAGCUUCAGAGAAUUUCUCUUCCUGAAGACAUCUUCGUCUACUGGUGUUUCAGACGACUGACUGCCAGUUAACCCGCCACUCAUCAGUCAAGCAAAUGAUUCAGGGAAUCAUGAUGGUUCAGUGCACCUGUUUGCUGCUGCUGCUGCUCUCCACUGCUGUGUUCUCACAAAAUUAUAAGGACUUCAAAGUGAAACACACGCUUGUGGAGGCAAAGAAUAACAAAGAUUGUGCUACUUUGAUGAAAGCUGUCAAUGAACUGGAAAAUGUAAAAAAGAACACUCCAGGAAAGUGCAAGGAAAAGAAUACUUUCAUUGACGAAAGUAACGAGCAAAAAAUUCAGAAUAUGUGUACACCUGAUUCUGACAAGAAAUUUGUUAACUUACCAUAUAAUUGUUUUGACUGUGUGACAAAAGAUAAAAAGGAACCUUGUUCAUACACACAAAUAAAACCUAAUGAGAAAAAGAAGAUAAAAUGUGAAAAAGACAAAUCCGAGAAUAAGAUUCUACCUGUACACCUUGAGGCUGGUAGCGUUUAGGAGAAGACUCAGCAGUUGAUUCCAGUUUAAAACUGCUGUGUUGUCUUAACUACUUGUUUAAAAGAAUUUCUUAAAAUGUGUUGAUAAUCAUGUGACUGUCUUCUCACAAACAUGACGAGGUAUUGUAAGGAUUUGAGUUGAUCACAUGUAAGAACCCAGUAUAAACUUCUUUCAUCCAAUUUGAUGCUACAGAAAAUUUGUUGCAGAAAAGUUGUCUCUUUGUUUCUCACUCUCAUGAUUGACAAGUUCUUAUGUGAUGUUAAAAUCUAAAGAAAAAAAAUGCUCUGUCCA
ensembl:lncRNA